GACGAACGCUGGCGGCGUGCCUAAUACAUGCAAGUCGAACGCUUCUUUUUCCACCGGAGCUUGCUCCACCGGAAAAAAAAGAGUGGCGAACGGGUGAGUAACACGUGGGUAACCUGCCCAUCAGAAGGGGAUAACACUUGGAAACAGGUGCUAAUACCGUAUAACAAUCGAAACCGCAUGGUUUUGAUUUGAAAGGCGCUUUCGGGUGUCGCUGAUGGAUGGACCCGCGGUGCAUUAGCUAGUUGGUGAGGUAACGGCUCACCAAGGCCACGAUGCAUAGCCGACCUGAGAGGGUGAUCGGCCACAUUGGGACUGAGACACGGCCCAAACUCCUACGGGAGGCAGCAGUAGGGAAUCUUCGGCAAUGGACGAAAGUCUGACCGAGCAACGCCGCGUGAGUGAAGAAGGUUUUCGGAUCGUAAAACUCUGUUGUUAGAGAAGAACAAGGAUGAGAGUAACUGUUCAUCCCUUGACGGUAUCUAACCAGAAAGCCACGGCUAACUACGUGCCAGCCGCCGCAGUAA
rnacentral:rRNA from 1 species